UACAGAGGUCCCGAGCGUUGUUCGGAUUCACUGGGCGUAAAGGGUGCGUAGGUGGCUUGGAAAGUUUGAUGUGAAAGCUCAGGGCUUAACCCUGAAAUGGCAUUGAAUACUGCUGAGCUGGAGGUUUGGAGGGGGGACUGGAAUUCUUGGUGUAGCAGUGAAAUGCGUAGAUAUCAAGAGGAACACCAGUGGCGAAGGCGAGUCCCUGGACAACACCUGACACUGAGGCACGAAAGCUAGGGGAGCAAACAGG
rnacentral:rRNA from 1 species